CAGCAGGAAAGGGACAGAAUUAGAAGCUGCAGUGACCUAAUUGCACUACCAUUGGCAGUGACUGAUUGAUUCUGUGUACACAGCUGCUUCAACCAGAGCAUGGAGAUAAGGUAGGCCUGUGUUGUUAGUGUAAACCUUGUAUCAUUAAAAGUUAAUAUGUGGUUUCCUUUAAACUAAGAGGCUACUCCGCCUCCAACUGGCAGAUGCAACAGAAAAAAAAGAAUAUAUAUGUAUUUUUUAACAUCUAUUAAGAAAGAAAAUUAAUUUACCAACAAUUAACAGUACAUCACAAUAAUGUAUAUUGUACUUAUUACAAGGAAUAUUGUUAGAGCAUUUUAAUAUCUUAUGAUCCUUCUGCCUCAAGAAAGUAGCCACUCAUAUUUUUCAGUUUUCCCUUGUUUAAAAGAAUACAUAUUUUACACAUUAUCAUAUGAUAUUACUGGUAAAUAUAUUGCCCCAUGGCUUAAGUUUAGAAGUUUUGUGUGUGUUUGAAUGUUACUUAUAGUUUGGUGAGAUAAUUUUUUUGCACCCCUCCUAGAACUGUCCAUUACCGCAGACUGGACUGCCAAACUCAUGCCCGCCUGGGCAAAGACGUCUCAGCCCUGCGCAACCUUCUUUUCCAGCAGAUAGCUUUUCAAGAUAAACCAGAUGCUAUGCCAUGAGGAACAGUGAGGAACUAGAGCCUCUGGCCAGUGGCCAAAAAGGAACUGGGGCCUCCUGCCAAAACCAUGUGACUGAGUCUAGAAGCGGACCCUCCAGUCCCCAUGAAGCCAACAUCUUGACUGUGACCUCACAAGAAGCCCUGAGCCAGAGCCAAUAAACUAUGCACAUUUUAGCCUAUAAAAACUGAGAGAUAAUGAAAGUUUGUUAUUUUAAGACACAAUAUUUUAGAUAAUUUGUCACACAGCAGUAGUGGCUUUCAUCUAAUGCAGCAUAGAAACUAACACGGAGAGUCAAGCCACUCAAAGAAAGAAUAUGUUUCAAAGAAAGAACAAUAUAAACCGUAAGAAAAACACUUUAAUGAAAUGACAAUAAGUAAUUUUUCUGAUAAAAAAUUCAAAGUAAUGGUCAUAAGGAUGUUCAUGAGACUUGGGAGAAGAAUGAAUGAGCACAGUAGGAAAAGCACCAAACAGAAGUCACAGGGUGAAAAGUACAUACAAAACCUGAACCGAAAAAUAUGCUAGAGGGGUUCAACAGCAGAGCAGAUGAUGCAGAAGAAAGGAUGAGUGAACUAAAGGACAGGAUAGAGGAACUUAAUCCAGAAUAGCAAAAAGAAAAAAGAAUGAAAAACAGUGAAGAUAGCUUAAGGAACUUAUGCGACAACAUGUAGGGGGUUAAUAUUUGCAUUAUGGGAGUCCCAGAAGAAGAGAAAGAGAAAGGUGUAAAAAGCUUAUUUGAAGAUAUAAUGGCUAAAAACUCCCCUCGCAGGCAUGCAGGUCCAGGAAGCUGAGAGAGUUCUCAAACAGCUGAACCCAAAGAGACUCACACCAAGGUACAUCAUAAUUAAAGUGUCAAAAGGUAAAGAUAAGGAGUGAAUCUUAAAAGGAGCCAGAGAAAAACAAACUAUUACAUACAAAAGAAGUCCCCUAAGACUAUCAGCACAUUUUUCACCAGUAACUUUGUAGGCCAAAGGCAAGUGGCACAAUAUAUUCACAGUGCUGAAAAAAAAAGAAAACUCCUAAUCAAGAAUACUCUACCUGGAACAAUCAUCAUCCACAAUUGAAGAAGAGAGUUUUCCAGAAAAGCCAUUGCAUAAUGAUAAAGGGGUCAAUCCAACAAGAGGAUAUAACUUUUGUAAAUAUUUAUGCACCCAAUAUAGGAGCACCUAAAUAUACAAAGCAAAUAAUAAUAAUAGACAUAAAAGGAGAAAUGCACAGCAGUGCAGCAAUAGUAGGGGACUUUAAUACCCCCACUUACAUCAGUGGGUGGACCAUCCAGACAGAAUGUCAAUAAGGAAACAUUUGCCUUAAACAGCACAUUAUACCACAUGGACUUAACAGAUAUAUAUAGAACAUUCCAUCCAAAGACAACAGAAUACCCAUUAUUCUCAAUGCACAUGGAACAUUCUCAGAAUAGAUCAUACGUUUGGCCACAAAACAGGUCUUAACAAUUUAAAGUAGGGUUACAUAUAAAACAACUUUCCUACUGCAAUGGUUGAAACUAGAAAUCACUCACAAGAAGAAAACUGGAAAAUUCACAAGUAUGUAGAGAUUAAACAACAUGUUUCUGAACAACCAAUAGGUCAACAAAGAAAUCAAAAGAGAAAAAAAUAUCUUGAGAGAAGUGAAAAUGGAAAUACAAGUGUAGAUAAAGAACCAGGCUACCUCCUAGAACUAAGACUCCUUUGUUUUAGAAAUCUUGGUUGGUUUCAAUAACUGACUAUUUGGAAGGCUUUUUUUUUUCUUUUCUUGAGGUUCAAACUCCUGCUCUUAUGUUUUGAAUUCACCAAUAAAGAGCAAGUCCACAAAACCCUAUGUCCCCACUCUCAACCCUAAUAGAAUCAGUAACCCAGGCCUGUGUGCUCUCUCUUUCUACCUGUGACCUUGCUGUGUGGACCCAGGUUUGCAGUGUAGUUUCUGGGUCUCGUAAAUAAUAACGCUCUUGUUUUCAGUUUCUUGAUGGUUGUUGCUAAAGGGCAUCUUGCCAUCAAAAUAAGAACCACAAGGCUUCGUCCAGUUGUAACGUUGGUAUGGAAAGGGGAGACAUCUGGGAAGCUCACUUGGGCUCAGGUGCUGCCGCCAUGCAUAACUGAUAGCAGUACUCUCAAUGGGCUGAGAUUAAUAUAGACCAGUUGGCAUAGCUGGCCUGAGUGCAUGAUUGUCCUCACAAUUAGCCCAGGGAACACACUGUAGCUGCACCUGGCUUACUAAUUCAAGUGGUAACAUCACUGGGACAAGGAGAACCACUUGCUGGGGUCUGUCCUGCUGCUGUGCUUUCUCAGAUCACCUCUGUCAUGUUGUCUGCAGUAUUCCACCCACAUGUCCCAGCUCCCAUAAUGACCCAAUGGUCUCCCCAGAGUACUGAGAUCAAGGCCACCUGACCUACAGACACAACUACGUCACUAACUGUAAGGGUCUUAACUGUCUAUUAAUAUGCAUGAGGGCCCACUGUGCCUCCAGGCCAAGGAGAGCUAAGAAGAGUGGAUUGGAUCACGAGGCUAUUGUCACCCACCAAGGAGAGGCUGUGGACUAAAGGUGUGAGAAAAGAUUCUGCUAGACAAGAGAACAGGAGACCUCUGCCUGAGACCACUGAGUUGG